rnacentral:rRNA from 1 species
UUGCGAAUGAACAAGGACAUGCUUAGCUUGACAAUUGGAGCCUCUGGCUUCGACUUGUAUUUUUGAAAUGUAUUACCAACAGAGGUGCAGGUGUCAGCCUAUUGAAAGAAAGCGUCAAUGAGGGUGAGAAUCCUGUUUGUCAUGUGCAAUCCUCUGUGCACGGUGUAUGUUUGCUGAGUCACACUCCUUGGCAUUGGAAUGCAAAGUGGGUGGUAAGUUUCAUGUAAAGGUAAAUAUAGGAUUGAGACUGAUAGCACACAAGUACCAUGAGGGAAAUAUGAAAAGGACUUUGAAAAGAGAAUUAAAUGAGUUUGUAUUUGCUGAACAGAAAAUAAACAGAUUUGAUGUUGCUUGGUGAGAUUGUGGUGCUUGCUUGACAAUAGGUUUUGAUUGUGGGUGYGAUGAUUCUUGCUUUGCUUGCCAGUUUCUAUUUGUACAUUUGAUUACCCUUGCACAUGAAUGGUAAUUUUCCUGCGGGGUUUGGAUUGCAUGUGUUUGUGAUGAUUUGUGUUUUGAURCAUGUGUCUGGUGCUUUUGUAAUUGCUCAUUUCUUGAAGCUGGGCCUACCCUACUAGAGCUUACAAGCCCUGGCACACAAUUGCUGGCAAAAUGCUUCUGCUUGACCCGUCUUGAAACACGGACCAAGGAGUCUAACAGAUGUGCAAGCUUGAGGGUUGCAUACCUUUGUGCGCAAUGAAAGUGUUGGCUGGGAUAUUUGCACCAGCAGCCGACCAAUUAGCAGACAGAGGUUCGAGUUGGAGCAUAUCUAUUAGGACCCGAAAGAUGGUGAACUAUGCCUGAACAGAAUGAAUUCAGAGGAAACUCUGAUGGAGGUUCGUAUCGAUACUGACGUGCAAAUCGUUCGUCAUAUUUGGGUAUAGGGGCGAAAGACUAAUCGAACCAUCUAGUAGCUGGUUCCCUCCGAAGUUUCCCUCAGGAUAGCUGGAGUUGCACAGUUUUAUCAGGUAAAGCGAAUGAUUAGAGGAAUUGGGGACACAUUUGUCCUUGACCUAUUCUCAAACUUUAAAUGGGUAAUCUGUAGUGGUUGCUUUAUGGAACUUCUGAAAUGAAUGGCAAUAUUGGGUGGGCCAUUUUUGGUAAGCAGAACUGGCGAUGAGGGAUGAACCUAAUGUGGGGUUAAGGUGCUUAAUUACUUGCUCAUUUGAUACCAGAAAGGGUGUUGGUUCAUUUUAACAGCAGGACGGU